CUGUAGCCAUUUCUUUCUACUCAGGCCUUUCCACUUUUAGGAGCUCCUGUCUCUUGUUACCUGGGUUCCAGGUAAACUUCUCACACUAGAACAUCUCUCUGAUCCUCAGUCCACCUUCUUCCAAUGACUUUGCCACCAUACUUCACUUAAUACCGGGACCUUCUCACCCUGGAACAUCCUUCCAAACCUGUGGCCCCAUUUUCUCUUCAGUAAAGGGGAAAAAAGGCAAGUCCUCCCACAUCAUAUGUAUCCUGGCUAUGACCAGUAGAAGAUAGAAAACUGGCAGAGAAGAAGCUUUAUUUGGAAAACAAAGGGCAUCAGGAAAAUCAGAAUGUUCUGAAAUUUUUUGGUCAAAUUUCUCAAUUGGCUAAAAUGUAAAAAAUGGCAUUUUUUUCUUUUCAUGGGGAAUUCCAUGGUGGAUCCAUAAUACAUUUCUAUGAGUAUUAGCUGGUUGUUUUCUGUCUAAGGCAGGGACUGACACUUUGAUUUUUUUUGGUGGCAGCAUCAAUUUCCAUAUUCAUGAAAAAAUAACAGAGGCCAAGUUUCCUGGCUUCAGUGAAAGAAAUUUAGACUUUCUCACCUUCCUCCCUUACCCACUACAUUGAACAGUAGAGGCAACAUGUGUUAGAAGACAGAGUGCUUGACUUGGAGCAGAGAAGUAACUGGGUUCCAAUCCUGCCUCUGAUACCUACUAGCUGUGAAAUCCUGGGCAAGUCCCCUAACCUCUGUGCACGUUAGGCAAGUCCCUAAGAAUUAUCACACAGAUCUUUUCGAAGUCACAUAGUCUGAACACCCUGAAUUUACUUAUGUUUAC